UACCAGCACCCCGAGUGGUCGGGACGAUUAUUGGGCCUAAAGCAUCCGUAGCCGGCCUUACAAGUCCUCCGUUAAAUCCAGCUGCUUAACAGAUGGGCUGCGGAGGAUACUAUGAGACUAGGAGGCAGGAGAGGCAAGCGGUACUCAGUGGGUAGGGGUAAAAUCCGUUGAUCCAUUGAAGGCCACCAGUGGCGAAGGCGGCUUGCCAGAAUGCGCUCGACGGUGAGGGAUGAAAGCUGGGGGAGCAAACCGG
rnacentral:rRNA from 1 species